GAGAGUGUAGCUCAGUGGUAGAGCACUUGCUUAGCAUGCACGAGGCCUUGGGUUUGGUCCCCAGCACUAUGA
rfam:Ictidomys tridecemlineatus contig027022, whole genome shotgun sequence.